rnacentral:lncRNA from 1 species
UUUGUGGUGCUGGGGCUUGGCUUCAGGACCACAUGCACACUAGGCAAGCACACUGCAACUGAGCUAUGUACCCAGCACACUACAGUGCUUUAUAGGUAGCCAUGCAUACGCUGAAUCUAUGAACAGUUGAGAUCUCUUUUUUCUUUUUUAAAAUUUUAAAACUCUAGAAAAAAGGUUGUACUUUGAAAUAGAUGUUCAAACCUUUAAAAUAAACUUAAAAACUUAGGUAAGAUGAUAAACUCUUUCCAUACAUUUUGAGAAAAUGGGAGUGUGGUGAAAACUUGGUGAAUGGAGAAGAUGCCUAGGUAAGAUGCUUUCAUCUCACUGGACUCCUUUCCUGAGGGCUAGGACCAAGGACAGCCUAGUUCCCGGCUGAGGCAGUGCUGCUGCGUGUCCUGCUGGCCCAAGUAGGACAGGGAAGUGGUAGAGUGGACAUACACUAGAGGUGGAUGCUGAAGCAUUUGGAUUUGAUCUUCCCUGGCCAUUGUCAAGCCCCAGGACAGGAUCAGUCAGUAGAGACCUUGUCUCAACAAAUAAUGUGGACAGCCUGAGAGACAGCUCAGGAGACCUAAGUUUGGUUCCCAGGACUCAAGUCAGGCUGUUUACAACUGUCCUGGCCCGUGGGACAGUCGACCAGGGUCUGAGGAACCACCUGUGGAGAGAAUGAGGGGCGAGAAACACAAGGACGGACAGCAAGUCUGAUUGAUCAAGCUGUCAAAUUUUACUAUUCCCAGGCAGGUUUUGUGCCCACAGAAGCAGGGUAUGGGGAGGGGGAUGACACAAAAUCGCUUUGUUUCUGGGAGAACACACCUGUUCCCAAAAGCAGGAUAUUGGCUAGGUAAAAAGUUCAGCAGGAGGAACAGAGCAGAAUGGGCUGCUAGGUACCUGUCCACAAGAUCUAUAGCUAUUUGUUCUUAACUGGGGGUAGUACUUUCCCACAGAGGCCUCAACUUUUCCCACAGAGAUCUCAACUAAGCUCGUACUUUUCCAUAAGGCCAAGACUUUGUAAGUAAGCACUUAUGGCGGACAAGGCAGUUAACAUUCAAACAGGGUCGCUCCCAACAUACAACUGCCUAUAAAGCCAGGUCCAGUGACUCCAGUGCCUUUCUGGACUGUGUGGAUAUCUGCAGUCACAUGUUCCCAUGGACACAUACACACACUUAAAAAAUUAGUUGAAAGGUGACACACAAAGAGACAUCUGGUUUUGACCCCUGGCUUUGGCAUGGAUAUGGAAGUGGGCACAGAAUUAUACACAGUGCACACAUAUAAAAGAAUAUAAUGUAACUAUACUAAGAAUGAAAUUAAGCUUAAUACCAAGUUACAUAUAUGCACAUUACUACAUACAUAUAACAUAUAUAUAAUAUACACACACACAUGUGAAAUUUGUGGGUAUACAUGUGGGUGCACAUGUGGCAUAAGGGAAUGCAGGUGUCUGGUGGGCAGUUCAUAGGAGUCCGUUCUCUCCUUCCACCCUGUGGGUUCCAGGGGCUGAACUCAGCGGGUCCAUUACUCACUAAGCCAGUCUACUGCCCCACAUUACCAUCUGGUCAUGUGACUACUUUGAAAGAUUAAUAAGAUGAUUUAUGUUUUUUCUCUCUUCUCUGGUCCCAGGAUGAAACUCCAGUGAUUAAAGUAACUGCAUUUGUGUUUUAAUUAGACUGGAAGCAAAGGAAGCUGAAGAAGAGCAAUGUGGUGUCCUUAAAGGCCUACAAAGGGCUGGCUGAAGUGGCAGUGAAGAGCCUGUGUGAGCUGUUGGUGGCCCUGCCCCAUUUUAACUUUCACAACAACAUCAUUGUACUGAUUGUCCCUCUGAUGAACGAUGGGUCAAAACCGGUGGGUUGCUCUAAAACUGGUUUAUAAGAACUGGUUUAUUGCUCUGGUCUUUAUGGAAAGAUUACACACUGUAUUCCAUCUUACCCCUAAGUUCUCUAUAAGCUGUUAGUGGUAACUUAGUAUCAGUUUAGUAUUCACUGUCUCUUAGAGAAUUAUUCGAGCAUUAGUGGGCGCUUGCUUCUCCAUGGAGGCUGUAACAGCUUAGGCUGCAGAGGGCAGCCUCCCAGCAGCCCCCCAGCAGCCCCCCAGCAGCCCCCCAGCAGCAGGGUCCAGUGUCAGCACUGCUUUAUUGUAACGCUUUCUCCUCCAGGUAUCUGAAAUGUGUUGCGAAGCAGUAAAGAAACUCUUUAAACAAGAUAAAUUAGGCCAAGCUUCUCUGGGUGUCAUUAAAGUCAUCUCUGGUUUUGUAAAGGGCAGAAAUUACGAAGUUAGGCCAGAGGUAAGCCUUUCUUUUUUUACUUUGAUUUUUCUUUUUAAUUACAAAGUGAUUUUUAUUGUUUCAAGAAAUGUCUCUACAGAUGUAUUUAUAUAAGUUAAAUGUACCCAUUCACUGACUGAGUGUUGCUGACAGUCUGUUACAGUUUGUAUAGCCCUCUAGGUGGACUUUUACAGAAAUAUAUGCAUUCUUGUUUCAAAACUUAAAAAAUAGGCUUCUAGUAGGAAUCCUUGUCUACAGGAGUGUGACAGGGUGUGUGGUAACCCUGAGCCUCCCACCCAGGCACAUGCAGCCCUGUUGGUGAAUAGUGAGUUGUCUCAAGAGCUUUUCUGAUACAGUCAGUGUGGGGGAGAGAGGUUACUGUCUCUAUUGUUUAUUUUAUAUUGUGAGUAUUUAUGAAUUAGGUUUCUUGGUAUUAUGAUUAUUAUGAUUUUUUGAGUAGAGUUAGUGGAUCCAGUAGUAAUUAUUUAAAAAUGGUCUUCUAACAAUAUUGUGUCAUUCAGGUUGUCACUACUGACCUGACCAAGUAAGUGGUGGCCCAGUCCUCAUCCCUGCUGUUUAAUCUCUUGUUAGUUUCUGAGGUGGAAAGCUGCCCAUUUGCACAUCUUUUUUUUUUUUUUUUUAAAUUUUGUGUGUGGUAUUAGACUUGUGAACUUGGGGCUUGUGCUCAGAUGUACAUAUGUGAAUGUGGACGGUACAGUAGAUUGAGUAUAUUCCUUGGUUGCUGUCCACUUUUAUUUAUUUAUUUAUUUAUUUAUUUAUUUAUUUAUUUAUUUAUUUAUUUAUUUAUUUAUUUAUUUUGAGACAGCCUCUCACUGAACUUUGUGAUUUGGCUGGCUACUGAACUUUGAGAUCCACCCCGUCCUCUCUCCCAGGCACAGUGCCAUACCCAACUAACUAACUAACUUCCUUCCUUCCUUCCUUCCUUCCUUCCUUCCUUCCUUCCUUCCUUCCUUCGUUUGUUUGUUUGUUUGUUUGUUUUGAAACCCUGUCUCCAAAAACC